CUACGUGCCAGCAGCCGCGGUAAUACGGAGGGUGCGAGCGUUAAUCGGAAUAACUGGGCGUAAAGGGCACGCAGGCGGACUUUUAAGUGAGGUGUGAAAGCCCCGGGCUUAACCUGGGAAUUGCAUUUCAGACUGGGAGUCUAGAGUACUUUAGGGAGGGGUAGAGUUCCACGUGUAGCGGUGAAAUGCGUAGAGAUGUGGAGGAAUACCGAAGGCGAAGGCAGCCCCUUGGGAAUGUACUGACGCUCAUGUGCGAAAGCGUGGGGAGCAAACAGGAUUAGAUACCCUGGUAGUCCACGCUGUAAACGAUGUCGAUUUGGGGGUUGAACUUUAAGUUUGGCGCCCGUAGCUAACGUGAUAAAUCGACCGCCUGGGGAGUACGGCCGCAAGGUUAAAACUCAAAUGAAUUGACGGGGGCCCGCACAAGCGGUGGAGCAUGUGGUUUAAUUCGAUGCAACGCGAAGAACCUUACCUACUCUUGAC
rnacentral:rRNA from 1 species